CACACACACUCUUUCUCUCUCCACACAAUUUGAUUAAUAAUUAAAUAAUAAAGUAAAUAAAAAUAGAUCGAAAUAAUAUGUAGAAAAAAUAGAUCGAAGUAGAGACUAUAUUGGCUUUGAUCUGGGGUUUAAUGGAUAUGAUGAAUUUGGGAAUUUCUUUGGUAAAUUGACUAAUGGGUGAUAUUAAUUAAUUUGUAUAAUAAGUUUUUUGAUUGGUUGUUCGAUUCUUGGAAACCCUAACUAAUUGCGAAUUUGUAAAGAUUGGCUUAUUUGAUGGCUUCUUUUGGAGAAUCUCUGGUAGAGGGUCAAUCUGGUACUAAUCUAAAAGGGGUGCUAGGGGUGAUUUAGUUGCGUAAUUAGUUGUUAGCUGUUUUAUUAUUAUUAUUAUUUAUUUAUUUAUUGUGUACUGUGUGCUGUUUUGUCACAUUGGUUGGAUUUGUUUUUGAUGCCUCAUUUAUAUUCUGCUGUAGUGGGUAACUAUUUUAUGCCAUUACUUAAUUGUAUAUAUUAAUGUGUGGGGAGGGAAAGCUACGACUGUUUAUGUGUUAUUGGAGCUAUUUGAUGAGUUUGUAUCGGUGGAUGUGGGUCGGUCGAUUGAUAGAGGUGAAAGGUUGAGGAUAGAGUUUGUUAGAUAUAGUUUUUAUUGGGGGAAUAUGGUUUUAUCUUAUCUACGAAGUCAUAGAUAUCUUGUAGUGCUAUCAAAGUAUGUUAACAUACAUUUUUUGAUGUAUUUGGAUAUAGAUAAUUUACUAAAAUGAAAAGUCGCGUGUGUAAUAAUCUUGAGAAGAACUUGUACUUCUUUCGAUGGAAUUUGUGUAAUUGAUCUCGAUUACCCGCUUUCCUGUCUUCUUAGUCUUGUAGCUGUUUUUUUAGAAGGGCCUGUAGUUGCCUUUUCCCUGUAUUUGGUUGUUGAGGCUCAUCUGUAAUUGCUAGCGUGGUGUUUAUUUCCAGGGCUCGAGCUUGGCGUUGAAUUUAGUGUCUGUUGGGUUUUCUUUAUUAUUUGGUUGAUUUUGACGCAGUUAAUCUUUGUGAUAAUGUAACAUCAAUAAGAUUUAAGAAUUUAACACAGAGCUUAUGUUUACUUUUUUCUUUUGAUUUUCCUUUUUCUCCUGUAAGAAGAAUUGCUGAUUAAGAUAUUAAUUUGAUCGUGCAGGCUGUAGCUAUACAUUCCUGAUUUAGAUACUGCGGCUGUAGCUGUGAGUGCUGACCACUACUAAAGCACUUCAUUUGCUUCAUGUUUUUAGUAUUCCAAUUAGACGAGGAUGUUGUAAAUCUAAUGUUCUUGGCUGGAUUGCAAACCAAAGUGUUUGAUGCUGUGACUUUUUUCCUUUAAUCAAGUUUGUUGCUUUCCCCAAAUUGCAGAGUAUUUCUUGCUUUUAAUGUUCUGUGGGAAAUAAAGAGGUUAGAAAAUUUGCCCAUAGCUCUGUGAGAAUUAAAUAUUAGCGAGACGUGGUGGUAUAAGCUCCUUUUAUUCAGUGUAUAUGCAAUUAUAUUGGAGAUGGGUUCUAAAGGAAGGCUGUUGUUUGAUCUUAAUGAACCCCCUUCUGAGGAUGACCAGGACAAUGAUGGUGUCCUCUGUUUCCAGCCCCAGAGAGCAGUACCCUCUUCUAGUACCAAGACUUCUGAGUUUUUGGCAUCCUCUGUUGAUCCUCCGGGGAUAGUAAACAAUCAUGCUUUUUCCCAUGCCUCUUCUGUUUCAGGUUUUCAGCCCUUUGUACGGUCAAAAGGUGCAGAGGCAUCUAGAGCUCCUGAGGAACAGAAGAGUGCUGGGGCCAUAACUUUCAGCGGUGCUUCAUUGUCUAAAUCAAGUCAGGAACAUGUAUUGAAGGAUGUGCUCCAGCCAGAUCUGAACUCUCUCGAUAUGCAAACGGCUGAAAAGGAAGAAGGUGAAUGGUCUGAUGCAGAGGGUUCAACUGAUGCAUAUAAAAAUUUAGGCAUCAAUGAUAAGUCGAAUACUGAUGUUGAUAAAGCUACGCAGGAGAAAUCAGCAGUUGAGCCAGUGAAUAAUAGUGAUAAAGUUCGCUCUGCCGAUAAUGCUUCUCAGGAUAAUGAGAAACGGAAUGGUGAAAAUUCCAAUAUUUCUUCUUUAGAAUUAGAUCCAGAUACAAAUGACAGGAAAAGUAAUAGUAGCAGAAAUUCUGAAACCAGUAAUAAAACUGAUAUCGCCAUGGAUGGUCAGGAGGAUUCUGGCCAGGUGCCAAAGCAUAGAGAGAUUAGAGGUGCUGAGGCAAUUCAUGCUUUAAAGUGUGCUAACAAUUUUGGUAAGCGCCCUAAGAUUGACCAACAAAAGGAAGCGAUGCUGGGAAAGAAGCGCAGUAGGCAGACGAUGUUUCUUGAUUUGGAAGACGUUAAGCAGGCAGGUUCAAUAAAAAGUGCUACGAGGCGGCAAAAUUUUCCAGCACCUAUUACUCGUAUUGUGAAAGAGUCGCGUACUGUUCCUCCGCCUGCUGAAAAGAAUGGGGAAAAGCAGAGUCAGCAACUUGUUAAAGAUAUAAAACAAAACGAAUCAACUAAUGAAGGCAACUAUCCUAUGGAAUCUAUUGAUUAUAAAUCUGAAUCAAGUGCUGAUGUGAACCUAGCACCUCUAGGUCGUCCUAGACGGAUGAAUAGUUCGAUCGACCUCACGCCUGAGGCUCAAACAUCACCUAUGCCUAGACCGAGUUCUUCGAAACAUCCCACAGAUCCGAGACAAGGUAGAAAUUCGCAGGUCCCUGGUAGGAAGCCUGCUCUGACCAGUCAAAGUUCCAUGGAUCCAAAAUUGGGAGCCAAAAAACCUCCGUCCAAGAAGCAACCUAUAGUAAGUAGCCAGUCCCAAGAUACAUCUGUAGAACGCCUUAUCCGGGAGGUGACGAACGAGAAGUUUUGGCAACAUCCAGAUGAAACGGAGCUUCAGUGUGUUCCCGGUCACUUUGAAUCUGAGGAAGAAUAUGUUAAGGUGUUUGAACCUUUGCUCUUUGAGGAAUGCCGGGCACAGUUGUACAGUACUUGGGAGGAGAUGGGUGAAUCAGGAACCCAUGUGAAGGUCCAUGUUAAAAACAUUGAACGGCGAGAAAGAGGAUGGUAUGAUGUAAUCCUUAUUCCAGAAUGUGAGUGGAAGUGGUCAUUCAAAGAGGGAGAUGUUGCAGUUCUCUCAACUCCACGUCCUGGUUCAGUCCGAUCACGGAGAAGCGGAACCUCAACAUUUGGGGAUGAUGAGCAGCCUGAAAUAACUGGUCGUGUGGCCGGUACUGUGAGACGACACAUACCUAUUGAUACUCGAGAUGCUACUGGAGCCAUCCUGCACUUCUAUGUUGGAGAUCCGUAUGACACCAACAGCAAUAUUGAUAGUGAUCACAUACUGCGGAAACUACAACCAAGAGGCAUCUGGUUUCUGACUGUUCUGGGUUCUCUAGCAACGACCCAACGAGAAUAUGUUGCUUUACAUGCAUUUCGGCGUCUUAAUCUGCAGAUGCAAAAUGCAAUUCUUCAGCCAAGUCCAGAGCACUUCCCUAAAUAUGAAGAGCAGACACCUGCAAUGCCUGACUGCUUUACGCCAAACUUUGUUGACCACUUGCACAGGACAUUCAAUGGACCGCAGCUAGGAGCAAUCCAAUGGGCUGCAACACAUACAGCUGCUGGAACUAAUGGUAUGACAAAGAGGCAAGAUCCAUGGCCUUUUACUCUAGUUCAGGGGCCACCUGGUACAGGUAAAACACACACAGUGUGGGGAAUGCUGAACGUCAUUCAUCUUGUUCAGUAUCAGCACUAUUACACCGCAUUGCUCAAGAAACUUGCUCCUGAAAGCUAUAAGCAGAAUAAUGAGAGUAACUCAGAUAAUGUUGCUACUGGAUCCAUUGAUGAAGUCCUGCUAAGCAUGGACCAGAAUCUCUUCAGAACCCUCCCAAAGCUAUGCCCAAAACCUAGAAUGCUUGUCUGUGCUCCUUCAAAUGCUGCAACCGACGAGCUUCUUGCACGUGUUCUUGAUCGUGGAUUCAUCGAUGGGGAGAUGAAAGUUUAUCGGCCUGAUGUUGCACGAGUCGGGGUGGAUUCCCAAACGCGUGCUGCCCAAGCAGUCUCUGUGGAGCGGAGAACUGAACAGCUUUUGAUGAAGAGUCGUGAUGAAGUUUAUGGGUGGAUGCACCAGUUGAGAGCUCGUGAAGCUCAGUUGUCUCAGCAGAUAGCUGGCCUUCAAAGAGAACUAACAGUUGCUGCUGCUGCUGGUCGUUCACAGGGAUCUGUCGGAGUUGACCCUGAUGUUCUUAUGGCUAGGGACCAAAACCGAGAUUCUCUAUUGCAGAACCUUGCGGCAGUGGUUGAGAAUAGAGAUAAAAUAUUGGUGGAAAUGUCCCGCCUUCUGAUUUUGGAAAGUAGGUUCCGUGGUGGUAACAAUUUCAACAUGGAGGAAGCUCGUGCUAGUCUGGAGGCUAGUUUUGCCAAUGAAGCUGAAAUUGUUUUCACUACUGUCUCAAGUAGUGGGAGGAAAUUGUUCUCUCGUCUCACCCAUGGUUUUGACAUGGUAGUCAUUGACGAAGCAGCCCAAGCCAGUGAAGUAGCAGUCCUUCCUCCCCUUUCUCUUGGUGCAGCACGGUGUGUUCUUGUUGGGGAUCCGCAGCAGCUUCCUGCUACUGUUAUCAGCAAAGCAGCUGGAACUUUGAUGUAUAGUAGAAGUCUCUUUGAGAGGUUUCAGCAAGCAGGCUGCCCAACUAUGUUAUUAUCAGUGCAGUACAGGAUGCAUCCUCAAAUUAGGGAUUUUCCAUCUAGGUACUUUUAUCAAGGUCGCCUUACAGACAGCGAAAGUGUUGCUAAUCUGCCUGAUGAAAGUUAUUACAAGGAUCCUUUACUAAAGCCGUACAUCUUUUAUGACAUUACACAUGGUCGGGAAUCACAUAGAGGUGGAUCUGUUUCAUAUCAGAAUACACAUGAAGCGCAGUUCUGUCUUCGUAUAUAUGAGCAUCUUCAAAAAACUUGUAAAUCUGUUGGUGUUGGGAAAGUUACUGUAGGUAUAAUCACUCCAUACAAGCUGCAACUUAAAUGCCUUCAACGGGAGUUCGCAGAUGUUUUAAAUUCUGAAGAAGGAAAAGACAUCUACAUAAAUACUGUGGAUGCUUUCCAGGGUCAAGAGCGUGAUGUUAUUAUAAUGUCAUGUGUGCGUGCCUCAAACCAUGGGGUAGGGUUUGUUGCAGAUAUACGGCGAAUGAACGUUGCUCUUACUCGUGCAAGAAGAGCUCUUUGGGUAAUGGGAAAUGCCAAUGCUCUGGUGAAAUCAGAAGAUUGGGCUGCAUUGAUUGCCGAUGCCAAAACCAGAAAAUGUUACAUGGACAUGGAUUCUUUGCCUAAGGAGUUCCUGCUACCCAGGUCAGCUUCUCAUGCUCCUCCACCGACCAAGAUGGCUAAUAAUAGAGGUUUCAGAUCUGGGUUACGGCACAGAAUAUAUGAUACACACAUGGAGUCCAGGUCAGGAACGCCUUCAGAAGAUGAUGAAAAGCCAAAUGCAUUACAUGUAAGAAAUGGGAGUUAUAGGUCUUCCAAGCCAUCACAAGAGAACUCAUUGGAUGAUUUUGAUCAAUCUGCUGAUAAAUCUAGAGAUUCCUGGCAAUAUGGCAUACAGAGGAGGCAAAAUACAGCUGGAAUUGGGAGAAGAGAUCUGUAGCUGAUGUCCGUGAAUGUGUGCCAUACAUCAUGGGGGCCAACCAUUUUUGUUCCUGAUGUUAUGACUUGCUCCUGUCUGGGAGACUGGUUGAUGGCAUAGCUAUGCAUGCUGAUCGUAUGUGCAAACUAAGGUUUAUUUAAAGGACUUCUUGGUGAUGCUGGAAGACUAUGGCAGUAAGGAAGCAUUUCUGUUCCUAAAGACUUGCUCCUCCUGGCUAGGACAGCUCUUGAUGACGCAGCUGGUCAAGCUGGUCUUGUUUGCAGAAUAUGGUUUGAGGAAGGGAAUUCUUGUUGAUGAAGGGAAUGGAAGGCUAUGUUACAACAGAGAGAUAUCCUGGUUGAUUAUGGUGGUACUUGGAAGAUUUAACAAUUUCAUGGGAUUUUGAGCAAUGGGGGCUCUCAGUCGUGGCUGAAGUUCUUUUGCUGUUAGGUUAUAAAGAGCACUUAGCAGCUUGUCAUCAAAGCCUCCAUUGGGACAGAGAAGAAAGUUCAUCCCAGCCAAUUAUCUUGGAUACAGAGCCAUAUGUGGCUUAAAAAUGUGAAUUCUUCUCGUCAGAACCCUUUACUGGUUGCUUCUCUGUUAAUGAUAUAUUACCACCGAGACUAUCCCAAGAGAGUUGGAGCUCUGUUAAGUAGUAUGUCUGACACUGGCGUCAUUUGUGCCAUGUUCUGAAUUUGAGCAAGACAACUAGUCCAUGGAAUGAGCCCAGGGCAUUAAGAGAACUGAGCUGACCGUGUGGGGAAACUGUUUCAGAAAGUUACUGAAUUCAUUUAAGGCUGAGCAUGGAACACUGGUGAUAUGGUAGCCUGUGAAAUACGAGCUGAUGAACAAAUCAGGAUGCCGUAUAGACUGAGAAGUGCUGUUAUUCGGUUCCUAAAUGUUGCUAUGGAGGCCCUUGGCAGAUCCUGGACUAGUUCUGUACAUAUUCUUGUCAAAAGCACAAUUCUUUUUAUUAGGUUGUCUAAUACUUAGGGAUGUUGGAGAAGUUCACAUUUUUUCCCUUCCCAUAAGAAAUUUUGAAGUUCAUUUUUCAUCUUUUCGCUGCGUUCUCCAUGCUCAAUGUAUCUUAGUAUGUUCACUACCUUGUAAUGAUAUGUUUGUUGGUAAUGUAUGUGCAUUCUUCGCUAGUAGUA